CCUACGGGUGGCAGCAGUGGGGAAUAUUGCACAAUGGGGGAAACCCUGAUGCAGCGACGCCGCGUGAGUGAAGAAGUAAUUCGGUAUGUAAAGCUCUAUCAGCAGAGAAGUAAAUGACGGUACCUGAGUAAGAAGCCCCGGCGAACUACGUGCCAGCAGCCGCGGUAAUACGUAGGGGGCAAGCGUUAUCCGGAUUUACUGGGCGUAAAGGGAGCGUAGACGGCAGUGCAAGUCCGGAGUGAAAGGCGGGGGCUCAACCCCCGGACUGCUCUGGAAACUGUAAGGCUGGAGUGCAGGAGAGGUAAGUGGAAUUCCUAGUGUAGCGGUGAAGUGCGUAGAUAUUAGGAGGAACACCAGUGGCGAAGGCGGCUUACUGGACUGUAACUGACGUUGAGGCUCGAAAGCGUGGGGAGCAAACAGGAUUAGAUACCCGAGUAGUC
rnacentral:rRNA from 1 species